GGCUCUGUAGCUCAGUGGUUAGAGCACUGGUCUUGUAAACCAGGGGUCGUGAGUUCGAUCCUCACCAGGGCCU